AUGAUCCGAUCUUGUUCGUUACGGCGACCCCCCUCUCUGUCUGCGUCAUUUUCUCCCUGCUCCGGCUGGAGCAAGUGGAGGAUGGGCACCAAGGGUGCGGCAACUUUGCUUGCCAUCCUCUGCUCCUUGCUUCUUCUCUCGUUGAGCUGCGGGUGCCUGGCGCCAGAGUCGGAGGGGGAUCAGACGGCACUGCUGGAGGUCGAUACAUCAUGGAAGGCCGCCAGAAAGAUCCCUCAAACCCUCUUUGGCUUGUUCUUUGAGGAAAUCAACCACGCUGGAGCUGGUGGAUUGUGGGCGGAGCUUGUCAGUAACAGAGGUUUUGAAGCUGGAGGGCCUUACACUCCUUCAAAUAUAGAUCCAUGGUCCAUCAUUGGUGACGAAUCCUCCAUAUACGUGAAGACUGAAAGAGCAUCUUGUUUCAGUAGAAAUAUCGUUGCUCUAAGGAUGGAAAUUCUUUGUGCCAAGUGUCCAGCUGGCGGUGUUGGUAUUUACAACCCGGGAUUCUGGGGCAUGAACAUCGAAGAGGGGAAGAGCUAUAAUCUGGUAAUGUAUAUCAGAUCACUAGAAUCCGUGGAGUUGACUGCUUCACUCACAUGUUCAGAUGGACUGCAAAAUAUAGCAGCAGCUGUCAUAGUAGAUACAAAUGUGUCAGAUUGGAGAAAGAUAGAGAUGCAAUUAUUAGCUAAAGGAACGUGCAGAACUUCAAGACUUGAGUUAACAACUUCCAAAAGGGGAGUCAUAUGGAUCGAUCAAGUGUCGCUCAUACCUUCAGAUACAUACAAGGGCCAUGGCUUUCGCAAGGAACUCAUACACAUGCUUGUGGAUUUAAAACCACAGUUCCUACGAUUUCCUGGUGGUACCUUUGUUGAAGGCAUUUUGUUAAGAAAUGCUUUCAGAUGGAGGGAAACUAUCGGUCCAUGGGAAGAGAGGCCUGGGCACUAUGGAGACGUUUGGAAUUACUGGACAGAUGAUGGUCUUGGGUAUUAUGAGCUUCUCCAGCUUGCGGAAGACCUGGGCGCCGAGCCAAUCUGGGUUUUUAAUGCUGGGAUCAGCCGGAAUGAUCAAGUUGAUACCACUGCCAUCGCACCUUUUGUAAAGGAUGUAUUGGACAGCCUUGAGUUCGCUAGGGGAAGUGCAAAAUCGACAUGGGGAUCUGUUAGAGCUGCAAUGGGGCAUCCUGAACGAUUUCCGCUGAAGUAUGUCGCGGUUGGGAAUGAAGAUUGUGACAACACCAAACCAUUUUACCAGGGACAUUACCUCAAGUUCUACAAUGCCAUACGAGGGGCCUAUCCAGAUAUUCAAAUUAUUUCAAACUGCGAUGGCUCAUCUGAGCCACUUGACCAUCCUGCGGAUUUAUAUGAUUUCCAUAUAUAUAACAGUGCUAAUGAUCUUUUUCUCAAGAAAGAUACAUUUAGCAGGACAUCACGUACCGGGCCUAAGGUAUUCGUUAGUGAGUAUGCUGUUCAUGUUGAUGGGGAUACCAGCAAGGGAAGCCUUCAAGCUUCAUUGGCAGAGGCUGCAUUCCUCAUUGGAUUAGAAGUGAAUAGUGAUAUCGUCCACAUGGCGAGCUAUGCUCCACUCUUCGUAAAUGACAACGACCGCAAAUGGAACCCAGAUGCGAUAGUCUUCAACUCCUGGCAACAGUAUGGAACUCCUAGUUACUGGAUGCAGACAUUUUUCGGUGAAUCAAGUGGUGCUGUGAUCCAUCCAGUGAGACUCAAUUCCAGCUACUCUGGUUCAUUGGCAGCAUCUGCAAUUACCUGGCAAGACAAUGAGGAUAUCUUCCUGAGGAUAAAGAUUGUGAACUUUGGGCCGAACGCUGUGAACCUCACAUUAUCUGCAACCGGACUGGAAGCUGGUGUUAAUGCGUCAAGAUCAGCUGUCACCGUUCUCACAUCCAACGAUUCAUUGGAUGAGAACUCGUUCGAUGACCCACUUAAGGUUAAGCCGGUAAAAAGUGGUCUACCCAGCGCUGCAGAGGAGAUGCAGGCCAUGCUGGUUCCUCACUCUUUCACUUCAUUUGAUCUGGCUCUGGAUGAGUACGGCGAGCUCGCAGCUGACAUGUGA
rnacentral:rRNA from 1 species